GAUAAACGCUGGCGGCGUGCCUAACACAUGCAAGUCGAACGUCCUCUCUUUCUUCGGGGAGAGAGGGAGUGGCGGACGGGUGAGUAACACAUAGGUGACCUAUCUUUCAGUGAGGAAUACCGGCGAAAAUCGCCGACAAGACCGCAUAGGCUUGUGGCGGCGAGCGCCACAAGCAAAGUCCUUCGGGACGCUGAAAGCUGGGCCGUGUGGCCGAUUAGCUCGUUGGUAGGGAACGGCCUACCAAGGCGACGAUCGGUAGCUGGUCUGAGAGAACGAUCAGCCACACUGGGAUUGAGAACGGCCCAGACUCCUACGGGGGCAGCAGUGAGGAAUUUUCCGCAAUGGGCGCAAGCCUGACGGAGCAACGCCGCGUGCAGGAAGACGG
rnacentral:rRNA from 1 species